AGGAUAUUGGGCAAUGGGCGCAAGCCUGACCCAGCGACGCCGCAUGGGCGAAGAAGGCCUUCGGGUCGUAAAGCCCUUUUCUGCCGGACGAGCGAGGACGGUACGGCAGGAAUCAGUCACGGCUAACUACGUGCCAGCAGCCGCGGUAAAACGUAGGUGGCAAGCGUUAUCCGGAAUCACUGGGCGUAAAGGGCAUCUAGGCGGUCGGGCAAGUUGCGUGUGAAAGCCUCCGGCUCAACCGGGGGAGGACAUGCAAAACUGCCGGGCUAGAGGGUCGGAGAGGGACGCGGAAUUCCCGGUGUAGUGGUGAAAUGCGUAGAGAUCGGGAGGAACACCCGUGGCGAAGGCGGCGUCCUGGCCGACACCUGACGCUGAAGUGCGAAAGCGUGGGGAGCAAACGGGAUUAGAUACCCCGGUAGUCCACGCUGUAAACGAUGGUGACUAGGUGUGGGGGGCAUAACACCCCUCCGUGCCGUAGCUAACGCGAUAAGUCACCCGCCUGGGGACUACGGCCGCAAGGCUA
rnacentral:rRNA from 1 species